rnacentral:rRNA from 1 species
CAGCCGCCGCGGGAAUACAGAGGGUGCGAGCGUUAAUCGGAUUUACUGGGCGUAAAGCGUGCGUAGGCGGCUUCUUAAGUCGGAUGUGAAAUCCCUGAGCUUAACUUAGGAAUUGCAUUCGAUACUGGGAAGCUAGAGUAUGGGAGAGGAUGGUAGAAUUCCAGGUGUAGCGGUGAAAUGCGUAGAGAUCUGGAGGAAUACCGAUGGCGAAGGCAGCCAUCUGGCCUAAUACUGACGCUGAGGUACGAAAGCAUGGGGAGCAAACAGGAUUAGAGACCCGCGUAGUCCCUGUCCUUAUACA